GCCCGUGCACACCGCGUCCCCGCCAAUGGCAGGCGGGCUCGGGCGGGGCGCCGGCCAAUGGGGGGCGGGGAGAGCGCCGGGACGGCGCGCGUGGCGGCUGCAGGGGGACGUGAGGCCCGUGAGGUUCCAGCUGUGUGGUGUCUCACAAGUGCUGCAAGGGGCUGAUAAGAACAGCUAGCUCUGUGCUUUUGUACAUGUUCUGAUUAGCAAGACCUGCUCGGACAGGACACUGAAGUGAGAGGAAAAAUGACAAUGCAGUAAGUAUAAUUAUUCCUUUGCUUCUUGAAGAUGCUCUGAAGAAAAUGUAAUUUAAUGAUGCCCUGACUUAUGCUUGGGCUUUGUGGGACUGAAACUAGGGCUGAAUAUUAAAAAAAAAAAUAGGAAUAGACCCAAACAAAAUGCAGUGUGCAAUGUAACAGCAGCACCUCAGCUAGAGCUGCAGUGCUGAACAUGGCAUCACAUUGAAACCUGCUGUUUUUAAAUGGAUUCUGGUACAGUGUGAGCUCACUCAAAGCCUCUCCCAUGCUGUGCCAAAACUGCAGCCCUGCUGGAGUGUGGGGUGCCUGCUUUCUCCCUGCCACAAGGAAGACUCCAGGGCAUUCAGCUCACUGAAAAACGAGAGUACUUUAAAAUGGCUGGUACUUCUCCAUAUAGACUUACUGCCCUCCCGUGGCUGCCAGGGAGCAUUCCUAAUGCAGAAACAGGGAGCCCAGGAACUGAGGGAAAUGGUAAAUAAAAAUAACUACAUAUUCAACUUAAACCAAAAUGCAGUUUGAGCUACAAGGAAGGCAAACCGACUGUGUGAUUAACUGGAAGUACCCAGGAAGGCAAGAACAAAGUGGAGAAAUUUACUGGUUUAGGAGUAGCAGGGAGACCUCUACAUAUGUUAUUUUGCAAGGACAGUGGGCCUUGAGCUAUUCUGCACCAGUGUCCCAUCAGCAAGUGCCAUUUACUCAAAGAGACAUGGUCCAUCUAACUUCAUCCAAUUGCCUCACGGAGGAGACUUUACUGGUAACUGGUACAAAGAAGGUAUGGGAGAGCAGCCACUGCGCCGUUUCCCAGCUGUGCUAGACAUGUGCUGCGACCUUGCUGUAUCUACUAACCCUCACUGGCCCAGCUUCAGCAGUGUGUAUAAAGCUCUUGCUGAGACACCUCAUAUUGCAAAUGUGUCCUUUUCUCUCCAUGAUCCAGAAGGAGAUGACAUUUCUAGCACAGAUGGAGUCCUUUCUGAGGGACUUCCCUUAGGAGCCUGAAGUCACGUUUUAUGAAUGAAACCUUGGAGCACCUGUUGAGAGCUGCUGUGAAGGCACUGCACAGUUCUGCAAGGAGUGUCCUGUUUCUUGUACUUUCUUUAUGACUGUGCUGCUGCUUGUGCGCUCUCCAUGGGCAGAAUGCAUCUCCAGUCUUUGAUGCGCAGUAGACACUUGAAACAACAACCAAAAAAACCUAUCAAAACCAGAAGCCACAAUGAAGUGGCAAGAGGAAACACAGCAAAAAGCACAAGCAAUAACUGCAUGGUCAGAAGGUGAUGAUGCCAAACUGGUUGAAUUGCACAUGUUUCUAACAAAGGCGAUAAAUGCUGCAAGGAGGCAACGUAUCUCCCACCAAUGAAAAACUUGGAUUUGUAUUUUUGUUUGUGGACUUAGCAUCAGUCUUACAUAUUAGAGGUUAGUGUAUGCCCAAGCCACAUGUGAGACUAGAUGCAAUGAGACACUCAUUUUAAACUGCAGGGGAGGAGUGGGUGUGACAGAGAUCAUGUAGGACAAUGCCAACACAUGGCACCUCCUGUACAGCUUCAGACUGUUGAGUGACACCUGCAUCAAGACAGGUGUCAGCCCAGCCUACCUGACAGCUGUGCUUUUUCAGGGAUGCACAUCACCGGGAGUAUUAGGAUUUCUUCAGAGUGAAAGAGACUGCAGUUCAGCAGAGCAUGCAGCAGACUGAAAUCAGUGAAUGAACAUGGCAGACAGACAAAUGCUUUGCUCACUCGAGCUGCCAGGACACUGGGUCAGUAUCAUGUACAGGCCAACCAGGGAGCAGAGUAAAUCCUGCCCUCUCCAUUUUCACAUCUUAGACCAUGUUAAUGUGGUGCAGCAUCAUGAACAAAAUUUCACUUUUAUGCACAGGUGAGAAUGUCCAAUGAGAUGAGAAGUCACUCAGAAUCAUUUUAAAAUUUGUGUGUAUGUGUGUAUGUACACACAUAAACACACACAGUGAAUAUAUAUAUUUGUAGUAAAUACAUAUGAACUUUUAAACAAUUUAAACCACUCCAGUAUAUAGAUGAUAUACUCCUAUCAUUUACCAGGACAAUACAUUUUGUUACACUGACAGAUUCUGCUGCUCAGUUACCUUUUAAAUUACAAUUUUUAUAAGUUACACAUAAUUGCUCAGUGGAAGGCCAAUCUGGCAAGCACAAAUCUGCAGCAAACCAGUAGUGAUCCUUCAGAAUUUGAAGGUACCUCCCCAGUUUCCUUCAAAUAUCAACUCUGCUUUCACAGAAAUAAACUGUUUCUAACAACAUGCUACAACCCUGUUAAGCCAAGCAGGAUUUUUCUUCUAGUACAUAUAAAUAUUUCACAUCCUCUCUACAUCAUGCUUGCAAGUGAUUGUAUUCUGAUUUGGCCCCAUAACUGUUUUAGUUAAACAACAAAAAGAAACAAACAAACACAACUCUCACAUAAACCUUAAAUAUCAGCAGAUUUUAAAAUCUAGUGAUUUACAUUUCCAAAGGAAAUACCUUUUAGAAAUAAUUAACUCAGUCUGCAGCUGUUAAGUCCAAACAUUGUAAAUGUAAGAAAUGUGGACAGGAAACUAAACAAAGCACAAAAAUGACUUGCUUGUCCAAACUGAGACACACACAACUCAUAAAAAUUUUUUUAGAUCACCUGUGUGAUGUCCUUGUUAUAAAUAUCAAAGUAGAUUAGCUUGUACAAGUCUAUUGAAAAAAGGACUAUCUUAAAAAAGCGUGGUUCAAAGCUUUACCUAAAAAGUAUUUUCACAGAUUAAAUUCUGCGUCUCUCAGUGACAUUGAAUUAUUCACAAAACCUUGCAUAAUGUUACAUUUUCAAACACUUGACAUUGAUCAGCUGUCAAAGAAAACACAGCUUGUUUGUGUAACAGACAAAAGGAAAAAAAAUCACAGAGCUCAGCUAUUUCUAAAAAACUAACCCUCAGAGUAGAAAUAAGAUUAUUUUAAAAGGUGGAUAAAACAGUGAGGUUCAGUCAGACCUGUAUUUUUUAUUGGCAACAAGCACUGUGAUUUUUAUUUUAUUUUUUUUUAAAUGAACUCACUUGAAGGUGUGUAAAUAUUCCUAGCAUUAAUGAUGCCUUACGCAGAGUAACGUAACAGAAGAAUAAAGUUUGCACUCCCAUAUUUUGAUACAAAUUAUUAUAGGGUAUUUCUAAAAAGUCCCUUUGACAAUAAAUAGCUAUUUUCAAAUUUGUAAUUAAAAAAUAAUCUUUAAAAAGUACCAAAAACUAAUAACCAAGUCUCAAUCAGUGUUAAGAGGACCUCUUCAUAAAGGAAAAGUAAAUCCUCCUUUGGAGUAGUUACAGCAAUGUGCAGAAAUGAGACCAGAAAAAACACACAAGAAGGUACAGGUCAACUGAUUUACUGGAGUUGUGCAGUAAUUUCCACCUUGUGGUAAUUUGAGGAUUGUAGUAUGGACCCAGAAAAAGAUUUCCAAAAAGAUACAAUGCUGGGAGGACACAGGAAAAAGUAUGUUUUCCCACGCUGAGGAUCUGAUGCGCCUGAACAGGCGUCCCUACCUUCAUCGGCUGUUAGCAGCAGCGGUGGACGCGCUCAGAACCAGAAGCCUGACAUUUAAACGUCCCACCACUGACAUCCUGUCUACAUCUGUCAUGGCUGUGUCUAAGGUCAGAAUAAAUAGCCAUUUGGGGCAAUUUCAACAGAAGUUGCAUGUACAGAGGCCAGUUUAUGCAGCUCAGCCUCACUUCUCUACAGGUGUACACACUGUUCUCUUCUUGUAAUUUCGACUUACUCUCGCCACAUGUUUGCACAACACUUCAAAACUGUGAAGUGUUAGUAAUUCUAAAGUACGGUUAAACUUGAGUGCAGUUCCAGGGCUAGAACACUUUAGCUUCUGGAAGCACAGAUCAGACCCUUCACCUCUCCAGUGUCCCAUGCUCCAUAUGGUUUCCUUGCUCACAGCAGCCAGUGUGCACAUGACAUAACACAGAAGUAAUGCUCUGACAUCAGCUAUGAGCCAGGCUUUGCACUGGAGUCCAAGAGCCCUGUGAAAAAUCUCAGUUCAACAUGGUAACUAUUAGAUUUUCAGUACACAUCAUGUAACAGAUUUAGUGUUUUCCUUAGAAAUAUAUGGCACGAAGUGUAAAACUUUGACUUAUUCCAAUUUGUACUAUACUUCACAGCAAAGCUUUAAAAAGAAUCCUCUAACUCCCACGUCUUCUAAAUAUACAGCUGGUGGGAGGCCAGAGUGUCCAUGAAUGGUCGCACAAGGUUGUCUGUUGAGAAGUAGAAGAUCAAGCCAAAGGUGAUGGAGAUGGGAAGAGCAGGUAGUGCUUUCUUAAAAACAGCCAGUAACAAAAGAGUUAAGCAUAAACCCUGCCAGAGAGUAUAAAAAACACAAGAAGAUAUAGUAAGAAGCCAGGAAAUGUAUCUGUCAUCAACAAACAAAUAUACAAAUAAUAAGCUAUAUACACUAUACAGCAAUUGAAGCCUGCCUGAGCUACCAGUGGCGCCAAGUACAUUUGUCCUUGUCACCUUUCACACAAGUUGGCCAGGUAUUUUCUUCAGCAAUCCCGAGCACAGCUCUCUGCCAAGAAACAUAUGUAAACAGCUAGUGCUGACAUACAGCUGACCCCAAGAGGUUAAUUUAUUUGGAGAUUAUUUUACAUUUUGUUCUACACCAUUCUGUAUGGAAGUACUGAUCCGGCAGAUAAAAGCACUUAAAUCCUGGUGAAGUGCCCAGAUAAGGAGUACUUUUAACACCUUCUCAGUUUUCAAGGUCUCUUGGGGUUAAAGGAACAACAAAAAAAUAAUCAACUGCUGUUGUUUUGACUGGAUUGCUUACUAUGAUAGGUGAAUUCUGGUUUUAUCUGGAUAGCAGGCCAAGAUCUGUUGUUUGGGGUUUUUUUUGAGCAUGUGUGAAACCUUUUGUACAUUUUUGGUACACGGUAUGGCUAACUGCAUUUAGGUAUGGAUUCCUUCUUAUUUGAGCCCUUUUUACUUCCUCCAUGAUGACAAAAUUCUGACACCAGGUUCCAAAAAUUUUAACAGCACUGUUAAGAAACAGAAUGGGACAUUGGGCCUCAUGGAGAGACAAGAGCGAGCAUCCCCCCAGCAAAGAGGCCUUGUGCUGGACCCCAAGAUGUGAAACCAGGUGAUCCUAUAGACUGCUCUGACCUAGGAGGUAGGAAGGCUACACUCAACACAACUCAUUUCAGUUAGAUCAUUUCCAGUUCUCAUGCUUUUUGAUCCGUGAUCUUCAUAAGUCAAAGUCACUGUCUUUCACUGUCCUUGGGAUCUAAGUAGCAAAAGAGAGGCCCAAGAAGGAUGGGAUAAUUAAUUUUCUUCUACCUUCUGGCUAGUUUCCUUAAGGGUGGUGGUGUAAACAGCAAAUUCCUAGUCAUUGUUUUCUACCUAGGGAAAGCUGAACAGUGUAUGGUCAUUAGGCCUGGCAAAACCAAGCGCUUUAGCAGUUACAGUAUGAUUGUCAUCUGCUUUUACUGAUAAUUUCCAUGGAUAUAUGUCUCUUUCCUUCCUGGUUUUUUCCACUGCAAACGCAAGAACAAGAUUGGCUAAAUAAGAGGAUGAAGGCCUUUCUCCUUAGCAAAAGGGGGUUAACCUUUUCAACUAUGCUUGCUAACCAAUGUGGAGUUCAUAAUAGGGACUUUGUGGCUCACAAAAGUCCCCAGUCUUCAGCACUGAAGCAAAUGCACAAACACUUCAGCUGUAACUGUUUUUUUUUCCCCUGGGGCUGUUUCACCUCCACCAUCCCCACACUUGGCUCUGCUCCAAGGAAUCCUCCCUCCCAGCCCAUAUAAUUCAGCUUCUACCAGGGCUGCUUAGAGCCUGUCUUUAUAGACAGAGGACUGGCCUGGGAAAUCCACUGGUGGUUUCUCCAGAACACUCAGUGUGUUAACUGCAGAGAUGUAGCAGCGCUCAGUUCUGGCAACACUGCUGUGCUAAACAGGCUAUAAUGGAGUUUUUAAGAGCUCGCUCACUUACUAUGAGAAUGGCUACAAAGCAGGCCAGUGUAGUAUUCCAGUCUCCACUAGCUGUAGCAGCUGCUUUCCCAACAAGCACACUGUAAAAGAUGAAGUCUCCAAGGCCCAGCUUCACACCUCCUGAGAGAAGUGGAAAAAACAAGUGUUACUUCUGCUCCUGUUCAGCUUCCUCACGAAUAAAUUCUUGUCACCUGGGGAGCAGGUGAAGUUUCAUGCUUAAAUUGUCAAGAGAUGUCACUGGAAGCUCAAUCCCAGAACAGAUACUGCAGCAGCAAGAAGUAAUACAGAGUCAGACUCAAGACCAUUGUUGCUCAACAAGUCACCACUCUGAAUUAACUGCAAUUAGGCCAAACUGAGUAACAGAGUGUUAACCACAAUGAGUAAAAAACAUCAGGCACUGCCUCUGACUAUGCUGAAAACAAGGUAUGAAGCCUCUCUUACUUUCCUCCUCCUCAAGCUCCUCAAAAGAAGUGAUGGGGCGGGUUGGAACAGGACUCCUCCUCUCCGACAUCUGAGAGUCUGCGUGUGAAGGGCUCCUGUGGUUCUCUCUCCCAUCCUCAGCUUGGUUCCACAAAAACAGGCCAAGAAGAGCAGACAAAUUAAAAAAAAAAAAAAAAAAAAAGAAAACCAACACCAAAACAGGUAGCUACAUUUAUAACUUGGUUUAACACAUGAAAUCCACACUUUGGUGAAGCUUCUCCAGAAUGGGUAAGCCCUUUGUUUCUUGAAAGUGUGAUCAUCAUGACCAGUUCAAGCAGAGACAUUUAGUGGCUUUAAGGCAGAAAGGGACAUGUUCACAGCUGCUUUGGCAGCUACCCCGGAGUUCAACGGCUUGAACAAGUGAGUACAUAGGCAGAACUACACAUUGCCCAGUGCAGGCCAGAAUGACAGGUGAAACCAAGUGAACUUCAUAUGCAUCCCCACAUUGUUAUAUCUUUGGGGUGGAGGUGCUCAGGUAUUCCCUAACUGGUCAUAUGACAAAAAUGGAUAACUAAGAGGACUGCCAUUUACAAGAAAAGUUCUGCCCUGAAUCACAUUGACACUGGGCCUGGGUGUGCAUGUGCAGUUAGUGGCCACAUUUCAUUGUUCACAGAUUUACUUUUUUUUGGCCUGUUAAACACAUCUAACAGAGCCCUUGGUAGCGCUUUUGGAAGCAGCCAGUCUGUGAUGUAGUACUCUGUCUGGCAGUUCCUAUUUUUCAAAAGUGCUCAUACAAACUUUCCAGUCCAUGUCAGUCUGACAAGAUGCUGCCGCUGCAGAUGUGAGCUGACUGUGAUGUGGGACAGAGCUCCGCAGUGACAUUCUGUAUGCCUCAGCAUGUAAUUUGCUUCUGCUCUGUGCCCAGUUUCAAAGCAGGAUUGCGCCCCUGCCGUUUGUUAGUAUGUCAAAAUGCUUUAUCCUGAAAUAAGCAGCAUGUUCAGUUAUCAAGCCCUAGCACACAUUUAUUGCUUCAACAUGAAAAGGUGCUGUCAUCUCUGAAGUGCAACAGGACCAGAUGGGAAAUCCUCCCAACACCACAAGUCAGAUGUUAUUAAAUCACCUUCAAAAUUUGCAUUUCAAGAAGAUAAAAGUAAAGGCACAAAAAUUACCACAGGACCAGCUAGAAUGUAAACUUGGAACACAUCGGCUACUGUUGAGUAACUGCCCAAACAUAAGUCUUAUCCAAGGGUAAAUGUAAAGACGUUCAUUUUCUUUGGCAGAGUAAGCCACAUUGCACUUACAGCUCGGUAAAAGCAGGUCUCUUCUGUGACACUGGCCCGAAUGCAGCACACUGCAAUGCACUUGAGUUCACCAGCUCAUCGGCAUUGUAUGUAUGAGCCAAUGUUAUUUACCAUCCUCAACUAUUAAAAAUAUAAUCCCUCACUAGCCCACUUUCAGCUUUGACUUCAGUACAUCUGAAAAUGUGUCAUGGACAACACUUGUUUGGUGGGGUUUUUUUUGUUGGUUUGGUUUGCUGGUUUUUUUUAAAUAAAGGCAGCCUGAAUGCUGGAGCUUCCUACAUUGUCUGGUCAUCUUUGCUGCCAGUCCUAAAAGCACCUUUCAGAACAUCACUAAGUUCUGCAACUAAUGUAACAAAACUGAAAAAAAAAAAAAUGCAUGUGUCAGGAUUCAAGGGCUUACAUUUACUCUCAGUCUCAAACACACACAUUAUUUCCAUGGGAUAGUGCUCUGUAGAGGAGAGUGACAUGCAAGCAAACCUGCAUCCCACGCCUGUUGACUUGAUCUUCUUGCUGCUGUGUCUGGCUUUGCCAUUCCAACUGUCCAUAUCAUAGCAGCUAAAAGAAAGAGAGAAAGUAGCUGCAUAAAACAUCGGUCACUAUAGCUCAGAGGAGCUAAGUAAGCACCUGCCCCUAAAAAUAUAAACCCUUGUCUCUGUAAAUGCUUUUGUAAUGCUCACUCUUAGUUGGUUUCCCUAAGCACUUAGAAGGCAAGGUGAGAGGAAAUUAGGGCAGUGCACACAUUCAGUUUUUAAGAGGGUCCCAGAGCACAAAUACCUAAGAGUCAGUAUAAUCUUCUCUGUAGGAUAAAGAAAGCAAAAUUGCAGAACGAGGGUCCUCAUCUACUUUGUUUUCUUCCUGGCUACUUGACUCUCCAAAAAAUUGCCCAGGAAAUGAUGCUAGUACAAAAGGUAACCAGAGGUUACCAUGCACAGCUUACUCCUGUUCUGCUAAAGGUAAAGCACACAAGCAAGGGAUAUGCUGCAGCUGUCAGAAUGCCAGUUUUCUCUCUGCCUAUCUGUUUUGGUUCUUUCCCAUCAAAAUAUUGGCUAUUUCUGUUUUGUUUCCAAGAACAACUGAAGGAUGUUUGGGGGUUGUUCUUGAGAUGGAUCCCUAAAUUAAAAAGGAAUACAAACUACUCUGAAAUCAGUGGAAGGGAACUCAAAUCAGCUGUUUAUGUAAGUGUGCAUCAGUCCUCCUGUUUUUAUAGAAGCUAAACUAAACAAAAUAAGCCAAGGCAAACACAGUGCCUGCUUUUCCACUACAACCUCAUCUGAAGUGAUGUUUUUGCAUCUAGAGGGAGCCACAGAAUGGGGCCUUCCAGUGGAGACACUGACAUUCUGCAUAAGAACUUUUUGUUCAGUAUUUAUUAUUCGUUGAAUUGCAUUCUCUUUUAGAGAAAUUCUUGUUUGUUGACUAGAACAUGUGAGAAACUUCAUUUAGAUUGUCUCAGGUCAGUAUAACAUAAUCUCCAGUAAAAGGGAAGUCAGCUUAAGCCAACAGCAGCUCUGCUUGGAACAUAUAAAAGCAUUUAUAUAACAUUAAAUGCUUGGAAAAAAAAAAAAAAAAAAAAUAUAUAUAUAUAUAUAUAUAUAUAUAUCAAUCAGGUUGUGGGCAUCCUCAGCUUGACACCCAAUAUUUGGAAAUACCCAUUCCAUCUUACAAGUGACAUAAUGAAAAGGUCACUGAGGUCCAUGAAAUGCUUGAGUCCAGGUCCCCCAAGUGUUGAGUCGCCUGCCUUCCAACUAUCUGAAUCUUAAGCACAUGUGUACCUUUGUGGAUAAAGGCACCAGGCACCAUCAUAGUUAAGCCAAGAAAGCCAGGGAAGAGAUGACUGAUCUUGUUUGAAGAGCAAUACUUGAAUAGAGCCCUUUACAAAGUGAGCAAACACACAAUGAACAAGAAAACAAAUAUAUUCUACACAUUUCCAUCUGUACAGUGCACAGCGCAAGAGGGGGCUACAGGAAAAAUGGAACCUCGUCACAUGUUUAAAAUGUGUCUAUAAAGCAUAUGCACAUGAAAUAAGUGUAUUGAGUGAGCAUCUUCUAAUCACAGAACUUUGCAAACACUACUGUCCAUCUAGCACAAGUUCUGGUUUGCAGAACAAAGCAAGUUCUGCACUGUAUUCACAAAAAGAUAAAUCUACUUGUGAACAUAUCAGCUUCACAAGGUAAACGUGGGCUCCUUUUAUCUAAUUAAAGUUGGCACCAUUGUAACCGAUAAACAAGGCCUUCUACAAAUGGUCUGUUGUAGAACAUAAAUGUGCACCAAUCUUAGGGCAAGGAAGUAACUAAAAUAGUGCUCUUCGGUUUGACACAGAAAUAGGUUGUGAGUUUAAUCAGGCUAAAAACAUUAACGUUCUAAUGUUACUCACAGGAAUAUAUUAAUGCAGGAAAAAUGGGCUCGUUUCUUUCCUGUGCAGUUUCUACCAGCAUUCUCAGUGGCCCCUUGGGACAGAGAACAGCCAUCAGAUCUGCAAAGAGAAAAGGGCCAGACAUUGCCAUCUCCAACUAUCAUGCAUAUUUUUCAGUCUUUAUCUUAAAAAAGCUAUUCUCCCCUCAAAAUUACAUCUAUCAAUAUUAACUGGAUGAUUUCCUGAAUGGCAGUUUCUGCCACUUUGCAUAAUUCUGGCUGUUCUGGUCCCUAAAGAUGUUCACUUAAAAUACCAUCCCCAAGCCUUAAUGUAAUAAUGAGUUUUCAUUGUGCUAAUCCUAUAAAAAGCCUCUUGAGAAUACUACAUAUUUCUUUGAAAGCAGAUGGCAGCAUUACAUCGAGGUGUUGUAUUUAACUGGGGGUGCUUUUUUUACCUUCCACAAUCCAUCGCUACGUACACUGACUCUGUGUUUCCCAUGAAUUCUGGUCCAAUUCCUCUUUGCUCACCCUCCCUCCUCCACCAGAGCUCCUCACCAAUCUGUACAUUACCUCCCAGCUACCUCGUUCUGCAGGUUCUCUUGAAACUUGUAACUCAUUCCAAAAUCCAUGAUCUCCUGAUAACCGUAAACAAAACCUGCCAGACUAUCAGGUUGCUACUGAUAAAAAUCCAACCACCCCUACCAUGCAGUUACAUGUGGUUCAGUACUUCCCUGACUUGGUGUUCCACUACAAAAGAUAUGGUAGGAGUACAGUACCUACAUGAACAAGUUAGCAAGAGACAAGCCAGGAAUUCCACUUAGUCACCCAUCUGCCUCUUUCUAAAGCUGUCAGCACCAUGAAGUCGUUUUUUGAAUAGCAUACGCAGUCUUGAGAUUGCCUCUCCGUCAGCCACACCUUGGGAGUCACAACCCAGACUUACCAUAGAUAGAGAUUGCACCUAGAAUCACCCAUGCUGACCAUUCAGGUAGAUAUUUAAUGAAAACCAGUGCCAUCAGAGCACUGAUCAUAAUGAGAUAUGCUUGCUGGAGCUGCAAGGGACCUUUCCAGUGGAUGCAAAUCAUUCCAACAGCUCCAAAAUUCCAGAUGACUAAGAUUAGAGUGGGGUAAUCCAUGGCCACGUUGUAUGUCUUCAAUACUUCACUAGAAUACAAGAAAACUUAGCUGAGCAAUAAAAGCAACUGACACGCAAGGCAUCCCACUAGCUGUAGUUAAACAAGCAAGCCUCCUACUACACCAGGAGAAAGCAGGAUAGGAGCAGCUCCCAUCAUGAAAACAGAACCUGCCUUGUGGCCAAAUUGCUGCUCUUAGCUCUCUGUUCCUGCUGCAGGAGCUGGACCUGCUGUGUGUGCAGUCACCACGCUGCCAGAGGCCUGAGGUCAACAGCAAUGCCCAGGGUUUGAGCAGGCAGGAUUUAAAGUCUUAACACAGGCCUGCGGCUACAUGACCAUCUGCAGCAAAGACGUCGUCUAAGAGUCAUCCCACCAGGUGCAUGAUGCUCACAGUUAAUAAUGUAAAGUUUUAACAAGAUCACCUGCAAGUUAAAAGCUUGGUUCUACCUGAGCUGGGAGCUAAGGGAAUGAGCUUGAAGCAAUGUAGUCUGAGAAAGAGGAAGACAAAUCAGACAACCAACUCAGCACAUAAACUGUCUUUCUACUUGCUUCUCAACAUAUCAUUCAGGGUCUACGUACCCCAAGGUUCUGCCUGUUCAUUUCAUCACAUCACGAUUUUUGUAGACUAGGCACUGUAAAAUUGGUCAUUGCCUAUUAAAGACCUUAUCUUCAUUUUUAUUAAAAAAAACUCUCUCAUUCUAAGAAUUCUUAAACCUCCAUUUGUAGAAGGGGAGACAUUCCUUUCCUUGUUCAAGUUGGGAAUUUUCUGUGAAGAGGUGAAGGAGCCCUGAACCGCCAGGUUACCUGCACCAUUCCCACUUACCCAAGAUAUAUGUAGGUAAAGAGGAAGAGCAGCAUCAAAGAGGACAGGAUCAGCCAGCCAUGGAUGAACUAUCAAGGGAAAGAAAAGACAGUGAUUGAAGGGGCUGUUCCCCCUCACACAGGUCACAGUGCUGCGUGCACUACUGACAGAGCUUCCUAUUGUCCAACAGCCUCCUUCUGCACUCCUCCUGCAGUUUGCAAAGACGCUGCCCUCCCCACUACUGGUAAGGGAGGAAGAAACAGUCAGUUGGUCCUAGUUUUCCAAAACCCUUUAGUUUUAUAUUGGAUCUCUUGGUGUUUGUUUGUGUUGGCUUGUUUUGUUUUUUCAGUCUCUUUCCAUUUCCAUGGGUAUCCAUUCUGAGUCCUAGCUUCUUGGCUUGGUGGGGAGGAGGAGGGCUUUGCCCAAGGCUGUACAAUAAAUCCAUCUCAGGGCUAAGCUAAAAAGCAGCACUGGCCAGUGCUCAAAUGCUGGGCUGGUACCACAUAGAACAACUCCCUGGGCACCACAAUACGUGAAUGUGCCUUUCCCUCCAAGCCUUGUCCCCUUCAGCCAGAACACCACCAGUUUCCACAAAGCUUGUGUGAAACUUAAGAGAAGGCACUUGCAGUAAACGGUACAACUUAGUCCAUAAGUACAAACAGCAAGACUUUUUGAUCAGAUGGAGAAGACUCAGACCUGACUAACACAAAGUAGCAGGCCUCGUUUUUAAGAGCCUGCCACUACAGACAAAAUAACAGCAAAGCACAUUCAGGGGCAUAGCUCUGCCAUCACUGACAAAGGUUCUGUACAUUGUGAUUCUUGCUGUGACUAAGAUGUGGACUAGCCAGUGCAGUGCCUAUAUUUCUCACUGACACAUCAGCCCCACCUGAUCUCAAGUUCACCGCACAUAGUAGAAAAAGCUCUGGCAUGAACACUUUACCUUGUAGCAGCGGUAUUUAUAGAGCAGGACUAGGAACACUGUCAUUACAACGAUGACACUGAUCAUUAUGAUGGUGUUCAACACAGAGUUCAAGAGACGCUGGCCCACAGACGGAGUAUCCUCAGUGAAAGGGGUGUAGAUCCUGCAGCAUAAAGCAAAAGCCAUAUAAAGUAUAUAUAUUCUCUUAUAACUAACUGCUCCAAGAUAAAACCAGACCUCUGUGUGUGGGGGAAAGAAAGGAAGGUACGACUGCCAAGGACAGCAAACAUGAGAUGUAGCCUCUGAAGGGGCUGGGUUUCAGUUAGUUAUCAACUAAAGAUUAGGGCUCUCUAUCAAAAGCACAUUUCUACAGAGAAGCUGUGGCUGGCAGAGCUCUAAACAAAAAGACCUAGAGUAUAAGUGACUUCAUCUAAGUUUAGUAACUUCUCUCCAGGCCAUGAAUUUUUACUGCAUGCUCUGGAUCAUCUCCAUGAUAAUUAUCAGGAUACAUCACAGGUGCUGUCCUGCAAAGGGGGACCUUUCUUUCCACACUUGGUAGGAGAGUCUUGGACUUUUUUAUCCCUUCUCAUCAGCAUUCACAUCCUCCCCCAGGUCCUGCUUUUGGUUCCAUUCAAGAGACCAGAGUCUCUAUUUCUCCUCCCGGUGUGCAGAGGACAGUCAGAGCCCCAACAGUGCUCUCUGGCACAGUCAGCAAGAGCUGGAUGGAAUUAUGUAUCUUUACCAUGAGUCUUUAGGAACCAGAAACGCCAUCAGGAAAUGAAACACUCAUCCAAAUGAACAUGCUAUUCUGUGACUGCCGCAAGCGAGUGAGAGAACAGAUCAGGAGUUCAGCCUGAGCCUUUUAUGCCGCAGUAUGAAGCAAAUUCAUUAUAUGCUGCUCACAGGCUUUGCUUAGAGCACCUUAAUGACAGUGGUGCUAACAAAGCAGUAUAAUGCAGGUAUUGAAAGACUUACACAGAUAGGCACAGCAUAAUUUAGAAAGAUCUCUGUAUGUUUACAUGGCCACCUUCAGCAGUGCAAAGGUUCUCCCAACCUGCCAAGGGAGCACUCUGUGUACACAGACACGCGUGCGUGGAACGUAUGUGUAAAGCUAGGGAGCCCACGUACUCAGAGGCUGGUUUGAAGACCUCACUUACAGCUGCCCGUUUUUCUCCGUAUAGAAGCGCACUGACUUUAUGGUGGCGACGACAACAAUCAUACAAAGGGUGACAGGCACAAAGAGCAUGAUUACAUGCUUUGCUCCAUAUUUCAGAGUCAGUUCCUCCUCUUCGUUUUCCAAGGCGCCUUCUCUCACUGGAACACCCGAGUCAGACGUUUCCCCAUCAGCGAUAUUGUUAGGGCUACGGCUGCUACCUGUUCGCCUCUUCUGAAAAAAAAUGUUAGCAAGCAUAUGAAGACACUUGUGUUCAAAACUUCAUUCCAUCAUACUUCAACUUGUUCCUAAAUGGAAGAUACCAAAUGAACACGGCAAUUUGAAAUUCCAUUACAAACAGGUCGCAAUCAAGCUUUUAAACCAAAACCACGAAUAUUUAAGGGCCUCUUCAAGUGCAAAUAUACAGAUGGACACAUGCACAUGAAGGGCAAGCUGCACAGAACUGAGAUAGAAGAAAUAUUAUCUGAGAUGGCAUAAGCUUGAUCAGUUUCUCCUCCCACAGCAAUGCUAUUCUUGCUUUACCCCACUGCUUUGCAUUUGACCAGAGCAGACAAAGGGUUUCUGGCAAGACAAGAAGGCUGAAAAGGAUAUCCUGCAAGUGUCAUACGUGCAUCAGGUGCUGAUUCAAAGCCUGUCGCUUUACCAAAAGGAAGGAAAAGGGAGGAGUAUAGAUGGAGAUAAAAAGGAGGGAAGAGUAACAGUGGAAGAAAUAGGAAUAGGCACUGCUGCUGCUGGCAGAGAGACUGACACCAGAGAAACGGCACUAGCUAAAGCCAGUCAUAGAAGCCAGUCUGCUGGAAGGAAUGGAAGGGCAGCAGGAUUACAUCUGUCACCACAUCCCAUUUCGUCACUCUCCGGGAAGGACGCACACCUACCCUGUGUGCCUGUGCUUCCCCUGCCUGUGAGGCUUGCAGGCCAUCCUGGUAGGAGGGGACUGGAGGGCUCUCUGCAGACAUCAGGGAUGUUCUCUCAUUGCAGGGCUCCUCCUCGCUGUCUGAGUUGUUCAUGAAUGUGAUCAUCGUGGCUGUCCUAGGGAGCACUCGGGAAGGGCGCCACCAAGCACUACUGAAGGCUGCGGGGACAAGCAGAGCGAGAGGAAAGAGAAACAGCAAACAUCACAAUGCAAACAACUGGAAGUCUGAAGAGGAGGCACAAUUUCAACAGAAAGGCUACAGCACACGAUAUAACUCUGUCUUCUCCUAACAGCUGAUUUAGGAAUGACAAUACGUUCAGUUAAACUCACUGUGACUUUUGCCAUCAGGGAGAACAGCAAAAUGCAGCACUGAAGCAACUUAAUCCUUUUUCUUUGCUGCUUCUAUUUUCCCUCUCCCAUUAGUACACCUUGACUUUCACAACGCAGGUUUCUCGGUGCGUAGGUUUUGUUUUGCACAGGCCAAAGUGAGCUUCACCUCAAAUGUUGGCUGCUAGAAAGCUAAGACAGCGCAGCUCUUACACAAAACCCCUGCAAGCAUCAGCGGUUAGCAGAAGUUUCUUAGUAACCCAGAGCCUUGGCUUAAAUAGGCCGCUAACCAGGCAUUACGUGCUGUCUUCCCUGUUACAACUGCUUAUUAACCAGAUGAAUUUUAUUAGCAGUUCUUCUAUUUGCCCAUGGACAGGGAGAGGUUUGUGUAGAAAGGAAAAGACCUGUCUUCUCAGGCGAGCUACUUUUUUCUUUUCCUUAUGUUGCCUUGUGAUUAAAAGCAAAACUACUUGGAUGGGCAAAAAACUCAGAAUAUAAAAGUGGGUGCUAGAAACAUUUGGCCCCUUUCCACCUACUUCUGUGCAGCAAAGCAGCACAAUGCAGAAAGGAAAGGAACAGCUCUUCUUUCUGGACACCAGAGAAGCGAGGUACACUGCCCUGGAUACCGUAGAAUAGCCUUAAAGCCAGGAUUUCAGAAAGCUCUAAAAGCAGGUAAUAGGAAAAUUCCUUUUAGCAUUUAAGUCUGCUUAAAAAAGCAACUGGAGUAAAUAAGGGUAAUUCAGUCACCUUCUGAUUUUCAGCCACCUGUCCAUAAGCAAAACAAGAUCUCUAAAGCACUGUAAAGCUGUAAUAUCUACAAGAACACCUCUCCUCUGCAGUAUUUUACCCAAGUCAGUGUGUCUCAGGAAAUAAAUCCAGCUCAGAAGAGGAAGCUGAAGCAGCCAUGUGACUUGGACACAGUCACUUCAAUCUGAGUCAUGCAUUGGCAGCCCAACUAGUACACUGUGCUGUCCACCAACCAGCUUGAGAGGUCAGAGUGGGUACUUCAAAGAUCUGCGAGAUAUUCUUGAUUCUCACUAAAGAAAUUGAAUUUCUUACUGGAGGAAGGAAAGAGGGAGGAGUGAAAGAUUCCCCUUUCUUUCACAACCUCCUCAACACAUCGAGCACCUUCAAGAAAUUUUAAAAUGUCAACUCAAGCUAAACAUUUUUCAGAUGACUGCUCCUCCCCUGCCUUUUCUUCAAGCUUUUUCAUAUCAUUUUGUUCCUCUUUUUGUGAUAAAAGUGGAACAGUUACAGGAAGAAAAUGCAUGGACAGCCCUCAAGCUGGGCCUGUCAGCUUCACAGUAACACUGUGUUCUUACUGCGUGAGUUUCCUAACACCUGCACCCGUGUGCUUAUUUCUUACACAGCCUAAAAUCUCCACUCUGGGAGCUUAACACACUCUUCCGACUGGGCAUGUGAGAGCUCACAAUUUACAGCUGAGAGCCUAGAUUCUGGUUCAGUUAUAGGAUUUAGGCAUUUAAAGAAGUCAGAUACAUAAAGUCAUUCAAUCAUGACAUACUUCUGGAUCUGUGAACAGGCUAAAUUAUGCAUGCCACAGGAUCUGUGACCCAGUGGGUUAAAUAGCUCUCAAAACCUUCUGCCCAUGUGAGAGACCAGGGGAGAAAUAAAUAUUUACUCUCUAAUAGUUUGGCACUAAUAUUUUAGGUUUUAACAAACCAAUCAAAAUAUUAAAGAACUUUUUCUCCCAGUAUUCAAGAAACUGCCACACAAUUUUUGCUGCACGAACAGAGCAGUUCUGCAGAGGAUUUAGAGGGGACAGCCAAUUAGCCUACUUUCAACACCCUAGUUGUACCCACUGGAGGAGUUAAACCAACAGCAAAAACACAGUGCUAAUUACUAACCUCCACAAUUACAUGGAAAAAAAAGAAUUCCAUGUUGUAAUAUAUCUGUUUUUAAGCUGGACAUUUUCUGCUAUUGUCCUUCAAAAUGGAUGUGGACAAAUGCAAAGAUGGAACAAUACUUCUGGUCAGCAAGCAGACUCAAACCUGAACACAGCUUUACUGUCACUUGUUUACAAGGCUUUGGUUUCACUGAAGUCUGACACAAACAGACCCCAGCAUAUCAGGGAUUCUACAGGAGCUCCUGUGGCAACCAACCUUCAACAAAUCCACAGACAUUAUACUUGCAGCUGCCUUAAACUGACCUAAAUGUGUGGUCCUACCAAAGGGCUUGUCCCACCACCCCCAGCCUCUCUGAAGCCAACACCAGGUGCUCGUCAGCUGCCUAGCUCUUUUGAAAAUACAACAGGCACUUGUUUUCCUUUGCUGUCACAGAGCCAGGCUCCAGCAGGACCAGCUCCCAGGCCGGCUAUGCGAGCAGCCCCAGUGUCCACAGGAGGGAAGGGGAGUGCUGGGCCAUCCCCCUUCCAGAAGGGUCAAGCCCUAUGGUGGCAAGCCCCCUGCUCGCUCCCAGACAAGACCUCCCUCACCUCAGGUCUGCAACGGUGCAGGUCUGAGCCAGGCAGGGGUCUUUGACAUAGAGUUUACAGAGGCAGGACCACUGGUCCCCCCUCUCUCUGCCCCACAGUGGGCCCACCAGGGAGUUUGUCUAACGCCACUAUUGACUGAUCAGAGCUGCACUUUGAACUGUCACCAAGGCUGAGCUGGCUGCCAGAGGGAGCUUUGGUUUAAGCAGCCUGUCCUUCAGGGGAGGAAGGACCAGCCUGGUCACUCAUGCCCACGUACCCAGUACAUCAGCCUUUGGGCUGAGCAGGGGUGAAGAAGAGAAAGCCUCUGCCCUGGGUGCUUGCAUGCUGAACAGAGAGGAAGCCACACAGCACCAGGCAAGCAAGAUGGAGGUGUUAUAAAGCCACACUGUCUUCUGCUAUCAUUUCACAGCUUAAACUAAAGGAAGGGACCUUGCAGAGAUGAUUUCUGCCUCCUAAGGACACUGGAUACCCCAUAACAGAAAGCACAGGAACCUUCUUUCCUACCUGUGCACAACACCAAAUACAUAAAUGCAUACUGAUUGUGUUUUCUUAGUCUGGGCUGAAAAGGGGGAAGGACAGUUCAGAAGAUAAAAGCACAGAGAGCUGAGAUGAGCAUGUUUCCUUUCUGGCUAUAGCAACUGGAGGAGCUUUUGGGCUGGAAGGAAACAUAGGCUCUGUCUAUAUUCACAGAAAGUUAUAGAGCACGGUCUAGCAAAUACAGUAAACGAAGAAAUGGAAAAAAUGUGUCAGACCAUUAUCAAACUGACCCAGUAGGCUUGCACAGUAUCAGGAAAAGUUCUCUUUGCCCAUGGAUGGAUUCAAACCAUUAGGUCUCAUUCAAAAAUCAUACAAUGUAAGAGCCAAAAGACCAAACUCUCAAAACUGUACAGCAAAAAUGAAAGGAGACAAACCUAGGUCAGUAGUAAAUGCUUAUAGUGGGGCAGCUGAGGUGGGAAUACAACUCCUGCUUUAUAUCAGUCUCACAAAGGCCACAGGAGAGCAGAUGUCCAGAUGACCUUCGUGCAAGUGACCUCUUUCCUCAGCAGAUUAAUGGAUUUUUAUAAAACUGGGCCAUUUCACACUAACAUUAGGACCUAGCCUUGGUUUGCCUUUUAAUUUCAUGCUGCAACACCACUGUGCUACAAACAAAGCUAAAUCCUUUGCUUUGCAUUUCAUCCAUCACAAAUAAUACCAGUAAAAUAUACAGUAUAGAACAGCUGCUAUAGGCUGGCAGAAUACUUAAUAAUCCACUUAAGAGUUAGAAUUCCCGCGCAUACAUACUGUUCUCUUAGAUGGCAAUUAGAUGAAGACAAUCUGUCUUCCUUUUCUAUAUUUAGACCAAGAAAAAGCUUUGGGCUGACACUGACAGCCUGAUGUUCUCCUAAGUUUCAGCUGUAACAAUCACUGCUGUUGGUAAAUACAGAGACAAAGAAAAAACUUUAGGAAAUUCUAAGUGAUGGAGCCAAAAAGAUUUCCCGGUUCUUGCCAAUAAAGCCAAAACGUGCAUGCUGCUAAAAUGACAAGAGGACUUGGAACACACCAUCUCAGCAGUCAAAAAGGAAUUUGCAAAUGCCAUUCGCUUUCAGCCCCAGAACACAAAAAUAAUGAAAGACAAGAUACUACAGGAAUUUGUAGAGUUCUGUAGUCCUCUUUCUCCAUUUUAGGGCACACCAACACAGCUGAACUAGCACUGCUUUCUUCUGUCCCACAAGAAAGGCACAACACAGAGCCCCAAAGGGUUAUUUUGCUGGCAGAGCUGAAAUCCCACCCCCCAAAAAAAAAAAAGGCAUCAGAAGGAUUAUUUUGCCAGCAUUGAGCCCAACUACUCUAGCAGCCAACUCCUUAUCAAAUACUCUAGCAGCCAACUCCUUAUCACAGCAUAAAGGCACCACAGCCCUGCAGAUCUACUUACACCAGGGAAACCUCAAAGCUAGGGUCAGACCCCACGCACAGGACCACUUGCAGUGGUGCUAACACUGCCAGGAGCAUCUGCACCAGCAGGGGCUGGAGGUGACACACCAGGGACACCCAAGGACACCUGUGUAGGGCUGGGUUCCCAUCUCCUACCCGAGCACCUGGGGCAGCCAGCCAGGGGCAUGCGGAGCCAUGGAGCCCCGCUGUCCCCGCUCCCAGCAGGACACAGGUGUACACACCGGGGCUAGGUCACCUUCCCUGUCUGUCCAAGCGCACACCCAGCCCGGCCACAUGCACAGCAGCUGGCAGAGAGAGACAACAGGCACUAAAGAAAAAAAAAGGACAAAAAACCCAAUAAUCCUGCCUGCCAGAGACUUUGCAGGAGGCCAGAGGAGACCUUGUGCCCAUGCACGCGUUCUCCCCAGCUGCCCCAGCCUUAAAAGUCGGGGUUCCACGGAAUCGCCGGCAGCGUUUCCAGAUGAAAUCCUGGGCUGCGGGCAGGAACCACUGCCCAGGAGAAACACAUAUACGGGUAUUUUACCUAUACAUACACAUAUAAAACAUAUGUUAUAUAUACACGUAAUAUGCACCUAUAUAGAAAUAUAUUUGUAUAUUGGCAUAUCUAUGUCUAGCUAGCUAUAUGUCUAUAUAUAUAUAUAUAUAUAUAUAUAUAUUUAUCGAUGUAAACUUUCACCGGAACGAGCCCGCAAGGCUGCCGGACCUCCUUCCUCCCCCACCUCCGUCCCGGGCCCCAGCGUGCAGCGGAAGGGCUUCACACGGCUCCAACAGCGCGGCGCCCCGAGACCCCGCCGGUCAGGCCCCGUCCCGUCCGGAGGGCAGCCAGAGCCCGCAGCCCGGCAGGGGCACGGACGGAGCCCGGGCCGGGACACGCUGCGCGGCCGCCGGUGUUUACCUGCUCCCGGCUCGGCACAGGCUCCUCUCCGUGCCCAUUGGCUCCGGCACGCUCUGGCCCCAAUGCUGGCCGGGGGAAACGAGCACGCCCACCGAUUCGCCACAGCGGCUGUCGCUCGAUGGGUGUCUCCGCCUACUGGCCACUCUUCUCCAAUGGGAGAGAAUGAUCCUGUAGCUAGCCAAGCCACCGGCUUAAAAAAGGCAUUUAAAUGUGUAUCUACGUCCUUCAGUAAUGGGAAGGCUAUGAGAGUGUGCAAAUCCUGACUGAAAUAAAAAGGUAAGGGAGAAGAGUGGAGGAGUAAACAGGGAAACCAGAGGAGAUGGCCAAAGAAUGGUUCUUUCGGAGUUGCGCCCGACCUCUGCCCAGUUUAUGGAUCAGAAGGAUGAAUAAAGGAAAAUUACAAACAUUUUCACAUUA